AAGUAGUUUAAGUUGUGUGCAAGUGGUAGGAGAGCGUUCUAUUUGCGUCGAAGGUAUACCGGUAAGGAGUGCUGGAGCGAAUAGAAGUGAGCAUGCAGGCAUGAGUAGCGAUAAUUAAUGUGAGAAUCAUUAACGCCGUAAACCCAAGGUUUCCUACGCGAUGCUCGUCAUCGUAGGGUUAGUCGGGUCCUAAGUCGAGUCCGAAAGGGGUAGACGAUGGCAAAUUGGUUAAUAUUCCAAUACCAACAUUAGUGUGCGAUGGAAGGACGCUUAGGGCUAAGGGGGCUAGCGGAUGGAAGUGCUAGUCUAAGGUCGUAGGAGGUUAUACAGGCAAAUCCGUAUAACAAUACUCCGAGAACUGA
rnacentral:rRNA from 1 species